GGGCCUAUAGCUCAGGUGGUUAGAGCGCAUCCCUGAUAAGGAUGAGGUCGGAGGUUCAAGUCCUCCUAGGCCCA
rnacentral:tRNA from 1 species